GAUGAAGAACGCAGCGAAAUGCGAUACGUAAUGUGAAUUGCAGAAUUCAGUGAAUCAUCGAAUCUUUGAACGCAUAUUGCGCUCUCUGGUAUUCCGGAGAGCAUGCUUGUUUGAGUAUCAGUAAACACCUCAACUUCCAUAUCUUUUUUGAAAUGGGAGUUGGACUUGAGUGAUCCCAACGCUUUUCCUCACCGAAAAGUGGCUGGUUACUUGAAAUGCAGGUGCAGCUGGACUUUUCUCUGAGCUAUAAGCAUAUCUAUUUAGUCUGCCUAAAAACAGAUUAUUACCUUUGCUGCAGCUAACAUAAAGGAGAUUAGUUCUUGUGCUGACUGAUGCAGGAUUCACAAAGACAGGCUUCGGCCGACUUUGUAAACUCGAUCUCAAAUCAAGUAAGACUACCCGCUGAACUUAAGCAUAUCAAUAAGCGGAGGA
rnacentral:misc_RNA from 1 species